CACCAUAACCUCUAGAUGUGACUGUUGAGAGCUUUUCUUAUUAUAGUCUAGCUUCUUUACAUGAGUUUGAAAUCCGAUUGAAUUGCAAAUUAUAUUAGUAACUAUGGAAUAUAUGAAGAGUUUGGGGUCUUCUGUCAUUGAAAUAAUCAAAGCCAAGAAUAAGCGUGAAAUGUUGGAGCAAAAAAUGGACGACCUACUGAGUCAUCAGAGACAAUUUGUCGAAAAUAAUCGUCGGUCCUUAGAACAGAAAAGAAAAGAAAAGGAAAAGGAAGUGUUUGGUCAGCUACAUGACUUACUGACAGGGGAUCUGCCGUGCGACCAGAUGAACCAGGACUUGCAGCAAGCCAACGACGCUCUAUGAGCAGAACUCGACAAAAUCUAUUCAUGACUAAUAUUUAAGUUUCAGAGUAGCAGCCGUGUUAGAAAUCCAUCAGCUGCAAGAAGAACUGAAAACAGCUUAACAGUUUCUGAAGGAGACCCAGAAUUAUGCGGAAGAGAUGAAAAUGUGAGAUACACAUUUCUACCUAUUUUUUUUUCCAGAGUUAAAUAGAUUCUUUACUUUCAAAUAUCAUCGUGCCAGGCUUCUAAUUCAAGUUAACAGUAGAAUAUAUAGAGGGUCUUAAGACAGUAAUUCACAAGCUCCUGAGGACUACUAGCCAGUGCUGCACACCCAGACUUUUUUUUUUCUUACUGGGCUUAACCCUGUUUUAAUGUUACCAACACCACUACAGUGACAAACUCCACUCUAUGAGGCCAUCAGAGCUGCGUUUUCUAAUAGGUACAGACUCAGAGCUUGCAAUUUAAACCUGUCCCGCAUCUCACACCCCUUUUUUGAGCAAAGAAAACAGCUUUUUUAAUACCCACCAAGCAGCACGGAAUGUUAAUGUUCCCCUUAAUACCUAGAUCACACUUAAUGCAUAUUUGAGCCAUGGCCAUGAGCUUUGGAUAAGCUCUGAAUCCAUAUAAAGGUUAACUAGAGUCUCUCCAACAAGACAGAUGAGCCGCGAUAUAUCAAUUCCCGAUAAAUCGAUCGCUACCCGCCGAUAGGGCGGGUAGUCUGGACGUACCCUUAGGAUGUGUUUGCUGUGGUUUUCUCCUAUAUACGGGUCUCCUGGAGUGCUCUGUAUCAGACUCACUGCCUCCCUUCUCUCCCACCCGAGUAUAUCUGGGUGUGCAGAGAGAUGUGUUACUUCUGUGAAGCCCAUUCUCAGGUGGCAGGGUAAUGUAAUUUGUUCAUCUCUGCUUUUCAGUCUGGGACCCUCUUUCAAGCAGAGAAGGGGUCCCAAAUUUUAGGUCACAAUGGAGUGGGAAUUGUCCCUGUCCGUUUAUCAGGUCAAGGACCCAGGCUUUACCAAGGAAAGGAGUUUGGACUCUCCUCCCCCUCUCCAUAGGCUUGC